GCGCUUGUUGUUUAGUGGCAGAAUAGCAGCCUUCCAAGCUGUUGGCCCGGGUUCGAUUCCCGGCGGGCGCA